rnacentral:rRNA from 1 species
UGAAAGCAGGGCCACGCCUUCGAGUGGAACAUACACAGGUGCUGCAUGGCUGUCGUCGGCUCGUGUCGUGAGAAAUCGCGUUAAGUCGCUUAACGAGCGAAACCCUUGUCUCUAGUUGCCAGCGUGUAAUGGCGGGGACUCUAGAGAGACCGCCGGCGUUAAGCCGGAGGAAGGUGGGGAUGACGUCAAGUCCUCAUGGCCCUUAUGACUAGGGCUGCACACGUCUUUCUAUGAGACGCACAAAGGGAAGCGAAACCGCGAGGUCAAGCAAAUCCCAAAAAUCGUUCCCUAGUUCGGAUUGCUC